GAUGAACGCUGGCGGCGUGCCUAAUACAUGCAAGUCGAGCGAACAGACGAGGAGCUUGCUCCUCUGACGUUAGCGGCGGACGGGUGAGUAACACGUGGAUAACCUACCUAUAAGACUGGGAUAACUUCGGGAAACCGGAGCUAAUACCGGAUAAUAUAUUGAACCGCAUGGUUCAAUAGUGAAAGACGGUUUUGCUGUCACUUAUAGAUGGAUCCGCGCCGAAUUAGCUAGUUGGUAAGGUAACGGCUUACCAAGGCAACGAUGCGUAGCCGACCUGAGAGGGGGAUCGGCCACACGGGAACUGAGACACGGUCCAGACUCCUACGGGAGGCAGCAGUAGGGAAUCUUCCGCAAUGGGCGAAAGCCUGACGGAGCAACGCCGCGUGAGUGAUGAAGGUCUUCGGAUCGUAAAACUCUGUUAUUAGGGAAGAACAAAUGUGUAAGUAACUAUGCACGUCUUGACGGUACCUAAUCAGAAAGCCACGGCUAACUACGUG
rnacentral:rRNA from 1 species